rnacentral:misc_RNA from 1 species
AAGUCGUAACAAGGUUUCCGUAGGUGAACCUGCGGAAGGAUCAUUAAUGAAAUGAUAAUUUUUUGGGGUUUUCCCUAAAAAAUAAUUCACCAUUUGUGCAUUGUUAUUAGAUAUACUUUGGUUAGAGCUUUGAUUUCAUUUAUUGGAAUCAACUUCUUGCUGACUCUAUCCUUUUUAAAGGACAGUUGGCUAUGAAGCGGCCUACCAAGGUUUUUUUUAUCAAACUCUUGUAUUUUGUCUGACCUAAACUAUUAUAAUUAAAUCAUAACUUUCAACAACGGAUCUCUUGGCUCUC